rfam:Candidatus Doudnabacteria bacterium RIFCSPHIGHO2_12_FTLL_48_16 rifcsphigho2_12_scaffold_12830, whole genome shotgun sequence.
UCUGUUGUGGGUGUUCGAAACUUGAGUGGGUGCAUCCUUAGUACGAGAGGACCAGGAUGCAUAGACCUCUGGUGUAUCCGUUGUCCCGUCAGGGGCAUGGCGGAGUAGCUAGGUCUAGUUAAGAUAAACGCUGAAUGCAUAUAAGCGUGAAGCUGUCCACAAAACUAGGUUUCGUUGUCCUUCGGGACGAUAGGUUCGGGGAAGACGACCCCGUAAAAAUCAAUGCUUCGCGGUGCGAAGCAACGACGAUAGGUUGCAGGUGUACGCACAGUAAUGUGUUGAGCCGAGCAAUACUAAUCAACCGAAAGUUUAAUUCAG